CAACAGCAAAAUGCAGUGAAAGAGUGCCAGGUAAGGCCAGGUAGACCUAGAUUAUACACUGCACUCUGUGACUUUGAACAAUGGAUUAAUCAUGGUUUCAAAGAAACCAAGACUCUUCCUCCUUGGGAGCAGAAUCAGAGGGAGGAGCACAGGGGACUGAGGUAAUGGUGCACAGGUUCCUUCCAUCUUACUGACAAGAUGACAGCUAAAAGCUGAAAAUUCAAAUUCUAUAUAAGCUUAAUAAUGUCAAGAGAGAGAAACAUGCUUUGUUUUCCCAAAUAACUCCAGGAGAAAGUCUCAGAAAAGCAUAAUUUGUGGGUUGGAACUGAUCAUGUACCCAUGUCUGCACCAGUCAGUGUGGCUUGUAGGAUGGGCUCUUCAAUAUUUGGGGCCACCCUAAGCAAUGUUUCCACUUCUAUGACUGGGGUUUGGAGCAUAGUCAAACCUAUGAAACCCACAUGGAAAAGUGAGCCUGAUAUUCUAAAACAUUUAUUUCAGCCAGUGCCUAUUAUGUCCUUCCCACCAAGUUUGUCUUCACUGAGACUAUUUUGGUCAUGAGCAACAAAAAUAGAAUAAAAUACAU